GACGUCGAAUAUCGACGUCAUAAACACCAAAGUUGAUCGUGUUUAUGACGUCGAAUAUCGACGUCAUAAACACCUAAGUUGAUCGUGUUUAUGACGUCGAAUAUCGACGUCAUAAACACCAAAGUUGAUCGUGUUUAUGACGUCGAAUAUCGACGUCAUAAACACCAAAGUUGUUCGUGUUUAUGACGUCGAAUAUCGACGUCAUAAACAUCAAAGUUGAUCGUGUUUAUGACGUCGAAUAUCGACGUC